UACGAGGGGCGCAAGCGUUGUCCGGAAUCACUGGGCGUAAAGGGUGUGUAGGCUGAAAGGCUAGUUGGAAGUGAAAUGUCCCGGCUCAACCGGGGACCUGCUUCCAAUACUUCCUUUCUUGAGACAUGCAGGGGAAGACGGAAUUCCUGGUGUAGCGGUGAAAUGCGUAGAUAUCAGGAAGAACACCGGUGGCGAAGGCGGUCUUCUGGGCAUGUACUGACGCUGAAACACGAAAGCGUGGGGAGCAAACAGG
rnacentral:rRNA from 1 species